rnacentral:rRNA from 1 species
CACAAGCGGUGGAUGAUGUGGAUUAAUUCGAUGCAACGCGAAAACCUUACCUACCCUUGACAUGUCUGGAACCUUGGUGAGAGCCGAGGUGCCUUCGGGAGCCAGAACACAGGUGCUGCAUGGCUGUCGUCAGCUCGUGUCGUGAGAUGUUGGGUUAAGUCCCGCAACGAGCGCAACCCUUGUCACUAGUUGCCAUCAUUUGGUUGGGCACUCUAGUGAGACUGCCGGUGACAAACCGGAGGAAGGUGGGAUGACGUCAAGUCCUCAUGGCCCUUAUGGGUAGGGCUUCACACGUCAUACAAUGGUCGGUACAGAGGGUUGCCAAGCCGCGAGGCGGAGCCAAUCCUGAAAGCAGGCCUCAGUUCAGAUUGCAGUCUGCAACUCGACUGCAUGAAGCCGGAGUUGCUAGUAACCGCAGGUCAGCAAUACUGCGGUGAAUACGUUCCCGGGUCUU